ACAGACGUUUGCGUGGCGACUAGGCCCAACAGGUCCACUGGCGCACUCGUGUGGGAUGACAAGAGCAGUUCGCGCAGGAAAGCGUCCGCAUACAAGCACACGCCAGCACAGUGAACCCUGAUAGUCAUGCUCUCAAUAGACACUCUCCUUCAGUUUCUCGAUGUGCUGCAGCGCUGCUCCACAGAAGAGGCUGACUACCGUGACCCUAUGAUGCUUGUUGGCGCGGAGGGUGCCACAGUGACUCAGAUGAGCGAAGGGCUGCUUCGCUGGCUGCACUCCAACGUUGCCGCGAAUCUUCGCCGUGAACUCCUCCUGGACGACAGUGCACGAACGACUUCCUCGAAGCGGUGCACUGCUUCCUCAAAGAAGCCGAUGGUGCUCAAGAGCGGCGCUACUGUGUGUGAUACAGCGCCUGCAAACACGACAUCUUCAGCAUCUCAACGGGGCCCUACACUCGCAGGGCCAAGAGAGGACGAUUGCCUGCGCGUCCGGGCCGCUGCCUCUAGCGCAGCACUCGGGGUGCUGUCGGUGGCAUUGUGGCCUCUCGUGCAGGAUCCUCACACGGCAGUCAGCACAGCCGGCGGCCCUCCUGAGACCUCUGCCGUGUGCCAGAUCGAGCGCGUGUGUGCCGUGCUGCUGCGCCUCGUCACAUCUAACCUCGACGGCUGCCAUGGUGCCCGGGCCGCUCAUGAACCAGCGCCGUCCCCCUCCCUGAUCUCGGUGAGUGUGGUUCGGCCGCACCUUGCGGCGUCUCUCAGGAAGUGGAUGCAGUACUUCCUUCUAUUCUUUAUGGAGUGGUUGCAUCUUCUUCGAAGCGCGAUACCGAGUGCUUCAGACAUCGCUACGAAGCAACGGAGAGCUGCUGCUGCCGCCUUGCAUCGCCAGACAAGGAAGCCAACCGCAGAGGCAGUCAGGGAUGGUGACCUACAAACACCGCAGAGAGGACAAUCGACUCUGCUGCCCGAUCCGUUGCGUGGCUGCCCGGCUGUCCUCGCGCGACACCCGCUGCACUACUACGCUCAAGCGCUUCAACGUGCUGCUGCCAUUAUCGAAAGCGGGUGUAGCACCACGCCCAAGCGCGGCAGCGAAGGUGACAAUGAUGAUCUCUGGGCCACCUCACAGUCGUGCGCUGGACAACAUAAGUGUCGCUCACCUGCUUUGCCUUGUGUGUCUGCAGGGCAGCGACGUGGCGCACCUCUCAGCCACCGGAGAGCGGUGCGUAGGCGAUGUGUCGAGGCGAGUAGCAGCAGUAGCGACAGCGACGGCAGCGCUAAGUGUUUUCCCACCGAAUCGCCGCCCCUCUUUUGCGCAUUCUUGCCGCAGCGUCGACGAAAGGCACCAGCCAAGCGACUGCCGAAGCGCCACGCGUUGAGCUGCCCUGAUGCGGCGGCCGACGAUGAUGUGCCGCUCGUGGAGCUUGCCGAACGUCUGCGAGCGCGUACGUUGGUGUGAUGGUGAGUGGUGUAUGGGAGGAGAAGGGGGACGAGAUGAGGUCGCCGGCUAGAGAAAGAGUGCAGCAGGAAGGCUCCCAGGCCCCCGCAGGGGGGGAACUCGGCACCACUUCACAUCAUUCAUACUUUGCCACCUACCGCUCUCCUCCCUUCUCCAUCUUCUUCCAUGUCCUUCCAUGUCACCUUUAACCGUGGAAUCGCCACGCUUGACCGGUCGCUGUGAGGCGGGAGAGGGGCCCGUCCAUUUCUGCUUUACCUAUCUGCUUGUCAUACACUGCUGAACCACUCACCCGACCGCGCGUCACGCCGUCGACAGCGGAUGUGGCUGCUCUUGCAACGACACUCUGAACGGCGUUGUGAGUGCGCCACAUAUGCUAGAGAGAGACAUCAGAGGGAGGAGGAGGGGCUAUGCUUGGUAGUACACCUAACCUCCUCCCCCGCUCUUCCUCCUCUGUUCUACAGCGCUUCAAGUGAAAGCGGCGUCAAAGGGGCCUUGCGCGGGCAGCCUGGCGCCCACAUCGUGUGCAUGUAGGCCCUCGCGUCGCUUUUUUUUUGUUUUCAGCUUCUCCAGAGCUCCAGCAAGUCCGAGCACAAUGGUGCUUCUCCUCUCUGCUCUCUCUUCACUCCCUCUGUGUUCUCCCUGUCGUUGUCACGCUCCGAUCUCUUCUGCUCCGCGCACGCGUGUGUGCGUUGGCUCCUCCUCCUUCCCCAUCUUUUCCUGUGAGGUAUCACAAG
rnacentral:misc_RNA from 1 species